AUUGAACGCUUGCGGCAGGCCUAACACAUGCAAGUCGAACGAGUGGCGGACGGGUGAGUAAUGUCUGGGAAACUGCCUGAUGGAGGGGGAUAACUACUGGAAACGGUAGCUAAUACCGCAUACCAUCAGAUGUGCCCAGAUGGGAUUAGCUUGUUGGUGGGGUAACUGCUCACCAAGGCGACGAUCCCUAUCUGGUCUGAGAGGAUGACCAGCCACACUGGAACUGAGACAAGGGCCAGACUCCUACGGGAGGCAGCAGUGGGGAAUAUUGCACAAUGGGCGCAAGCCUGAUGCAGCCAUGCCGCGUGUAUGAAGAAGGCCUUCGGGUUGUAAAGUACUUUCAGCGGGGAGGCGUUACCCGAAGAAGAAGCACCGGCUAACUCCGUGCCAGCAGCCGAGGUAAUUC
rnacentral:rRNA from 1 species